rnacentral:rRNA from 1 species
UACGUAGGUGGCAAGCGUUGUCCGGAAUUAUUGGGCGUAAAGCGCGCGCAGGCGGUCCUUUAAGUCUGAUGUGAAAGCCCACGGCUCAACUGGGAGGGUGCGCCGAAGACUGCAGGGCUUGAGUAUGGGAGAGGUAAGCGGAAUUCCUGGUGUAGCGGCGAAAUGCGUAGAUAUCAGGAGGAACACCUGUGGUGUAGACAGCUUACUGGACCAUAACUGACGCUGAGGCACGAAAGCGUGGGUAGCAAACAGG